rnacentral:rRNA from 1 species
GACGUAGGGCGCGAGCGUUGUCCGGAUUUAUUGGGCGUAAAGAGCUCGUAGGCGGCUUGUCGCGUCGUCCGUGAAAACUUGGGGCUCAACCCCAAGCUUGCGGUCGAUACGGGCAGGCUAGAGUUCGGUAGGGGAGACUGGAAUUCCUGGGUGUAGCGGUGAAAUGCGCAGAUAUCAGGAGGAACACCGGUGGCGAAGGCGGUUCUCUGGGCCUUACCUGACGCUGAGGAGCGAAAGCGUGGGGAGCGAACAGG